UCUCCCCUGCUCUAUCCCCAUGCCACCAGAUCUCCAUGUCCAGCCUCAGUUUCCCCAUCAGGCCCCACUCAGCAGCAUCUCACACAGCUCACCACACUCUCCUCGAGUUUUCAUUUUGCAAAUUUUUCGCACCUACAAAAAUGUAAAAAAAUCCCAAAACUGCCCAAGCAUCAAUGUUCCCUUUUCCUGGAGUCUGCAGUGUGGACGUUUCUGCCAGAUUUCCUAACUCUCUCCGUCUCCACCCACAUCUAUUGGGAUUCGUGUUUUUCUGAAGGAUUCCACAGUAGGUUACUGAUGUCACACCUCAGGGUGUGUCUCAAAAGUGAGACUUGAACAUAGCACAGCAGGAUGUCGGGGUGACACAACCUGCUGUCCCUUCUCUUUGCCUACAGUAGGCUCCCUUGGCUGUUUGGUUUUUGUUGUGUUUUUGUUUAGACACAGAGUCUCUGUCAUCNNNNNNNNNNUUCGGCUAAGGCCAGCUCUUUCAUCUACUUGCUGGCUCGGGGUGUUGUUCCUACAAUGCUCCUUUCUGCCUCUGACGAUUUACUUCUUUAUCACGGAUUAUUCCCGAAAGAAAGGCAGCUGUUGUUGCUCUAGAAAUUUCUAUCUGCUGCCUCCUUCUGUCCUUUGCUCCUCUUAGAGCAAACAUGGCUGGGCUAUGUCCUCUCUCCCUUCAGGGUAUCCCCUCCCCUGCUCUAUCCCCAUGCCACCAGAUCGCCAUGUCCAGCCUCAGUUUCCCCAUCAGGCCCCACUCAGCAGCAUCUCACACAGCUCACCACACUCUCCUCGAGUUUUCAUUUUGCAAAUUUUUCGCACCUACAAAAAUGUAAAAAAAUCCCAAAACUGCCCAAGCAUCAAUGUUCCCUUUUCCUGGAGUCUGCAGUGUGGACGUUUCUGCCAGAUUUCCUAACUCUCUCCGUCUCCACCCACAUCUAUUGGGAUUCGUGUUUUUCUGAAGGAUUCCACAGUAGGUUACUGAUGUCACACCUCAGGGUGUGUCUCAAAAGUGAGACUUGAACAUAGCACAGCAGGAUGUUGGGGUGACACAACCUGCUGUUCCUUCUCUUUGCCUACAGUAGGCUCCCUUGGCUGUUUUGUUUUUGUUGUGUUUUUGUUUAGNNNNNNNNNNNNNNNNNNNNNNN
rnacentral:lncRNA from 1 species